rnacentral:tRNA from 1 species
GGGCGUGUAGCUCAGUGGCUAGAGCAUCACUCUUAUAAAGUGGGGGUCGAUGGUUCGAGUCCAUCCACGCCCACCU